rnacentral:rRNA from 1 species
GAUGAACGCUGGCGGCGUGCCUAAUACAUGCAAGUCGAGCGAACGGACGAGAAGCUUGCUUCUCUGAUGUUAGCGGCGGACGGGUGAGUAACACGUGGAUAACCUACCUAUAAGACUGGGAUAACUUCGGGAAACCGGAGCUAAUACCGGAUAAUAUUUUGAACCGCAUGGUUCAAAAGUGAAAGACGGUCUUGCUGUCACUUAUAGAUGGAUCCGCGCUGCAUUAGCUAGUUGGUAAGGUAACGGCUUACCAAGGCAACGAUGCAUAGCCGACCUGAGAGGGGGAUCGGCCACACUGGAACUGAGGCACGGUCCAGACUCCUACGGGAGGCAGCAGUAGGGAAUCUUCCGCAAUGGGCGAAAGCCUGACGGAGCAACGCCGCGUGAGUGAUGAAGGUCUUCGGAUCGUAAAACUCUGUUAUUAGGGAAGAACAUAUGUGUAAGUAACUGUGCACAUAUUGACGGUACCUAAUCAGAAAGCCACGGCUAACUACGUG